AUUUAAGUAGUUUAUUUAGAAUAAUAAUUUGUGGAGUUAUAGGUACUAUAUAGUCUUGGAUCG
rnacentral:tRNA from 1 species